ACCGGGCGUGGUGGAGGGCGCCUGUAAUCCUAACUACUGGGGAGGCUGAGGCAGGAGAAUCGCUUGAGCCCGGGAGGUGGAGGUUGCAGUGAGUGAGCCGAGAUCACGCCACUGCACUCCAGCCCGGGCGAUAGAGUGAGACUCUGUCUCAA
rnacentral:SRP_RNA from 1 species